CCCCUGCUGCCUGCCUGGAGGCCGACGCCCCCUAGAUCCUGCUGCCUCUGAAGAUGGCACAACACCCACGGUAUCCCCUCCUACAAAUGGUUUAUGAUGAGCGGCACCGUGGCAAGAUACUAGAGGAGCGUACGGAGGUUUUGAGGCCUCUACGUCCCCGCCUUCACAAGACUCACACUUGGGACGAUAGGUACGCACCGUACCUUAAACGGGCUGGAUUCCUCCCGUUGGCGUGGUUAGUCAAGGAUGGGCUCCCCAGGAUGGAUAAUGCAGCUCUGACAGCACUUGUUGACCGAUGGAGGCCUGAGACACACACAUUCCACCUUCCUGCCGGUGUGAUGACCAUUACACUACAAGAUGUGGCUAUGCUCUUUGGACUUCGUAUAGAUGGAAGAGCUGUGACCGGGAGCAUAUGUCCAAAUGGAUGGAGAGAUAGAGUGGAGUUGUUGUUUGGAGUGCACCCACCUGAACCACCAGAAGACACGAAAGACAAGAAGCCUACCGGAGUGACGUCAGCAUGGUUGUCCGAUCAUUUUGGUACGCCACCUCCAGCUCAUGCUCCGGCAGGGGUGGUUGCUAGGUUCGCCCGAGCGUGGCUAUGGCAAUUGGUCGCAGGGUUUCUAUUCCCGGAUUCGAGCGGGAACACAAUCUUGUGGAUGUGGUUAGAACUAAUUGGUCAGGAAUGGGACAACAUUGGUAGUUUCAGCUGAGGAAAUGUAGCACUUGGAUGGUUGUACCGUCAGAUGUGUGAUGCGUGUAGGCGGAGCAGAGAUAAUGCAAGCCUUGGGGGUU